rnacentral:rRNA from 1 species
AUUACCGCGGCUGCUGGCACGGAGUUAGCCGGGGCUUCUUCCUCGAGUCCUGUCAUGAUCGCGCACUCGACGAAAGAGCUUUACAAGCGGCAUUGCCCUUCUUCACUCACGCGAUAUUGCUGGAUCGGGCUUUCGCCCAUUGUCCAAUAUUCCCCACUGCUGCCUCCCGUAGGAGUCUGGACCGUGUCUCAGUUCCAGUGUGGCUGGUCAUCCUCUCAGACCAGCUAGGGAUCGUCGCCUAGGUGAGCCAUUACCCCACCUACUAGCUAAUCCCAUCUGGGCACAUCCGACAGCGUGAGGCCCGAAGGUCCCCCACUUUGCUCUUUCGAGGUUAUGCGGUAUUAGCUACCGUUUCCAGUAGUUAUCCCCCUCUGUCGGGCAGUUUCCCAGACAUUACUCACCCGUCCGCCACUCGUCACCCAAGGAGCAAGCUCCUCUGUGCUACCGUUCGACUUGCAUGUGUUAGGCCUGCCGCCAGCGUUCAAUCUGAGCCAGGAUCAAACUCU